UGAGUAACGCGUGGGUAACCUACCCCAAAGUCCGGGAUAACAGCGGGAAACCGCUGCUAAUACCGGAUGCCUUUACCUUGGGGCAUCUUGAGGUAAAGAAAGGCAACGCUUUGGGAUGGGCCCGCGUCCCAUUAGCUAGUUGGUGAGGUAACGGCUCACCAAGGCGACGAUGGGUAGCCGGCCUGAGAGGGUGGACGGCCACACUGGGACUGAGACACGGCCCAGACUCCUACGGGAGGCAGCAGUAGGGAAUAUUGCGCAAUGGACGGAAGUCUGACGCAGCGACGCCGCGUAAGCGAUGAAGGUCUUCGGAUCGUAAAGCUCUGUCCUUGGGGAAGAAGGCGAAAGCUUGACGGUACCCAAGAAGAAAGCCCCGGCUAACUACGUGCCAGCAGCCGCGGUAAUACGUAGGGGGCGAGCGUUGUCCGGAAUUACUGGGCGUAAAGGGUGCGUAGGCGGCCCUUUAAGUCGGAUGUGAA
rnacentral:rRNA from 1 species